rnacentral:sRNA from 1 species
AUCGCCUCGCCCCUUCCCCCUUUCGCAGAUAACCGCUUCCUACAUCCACACUUUUCGCCGAUCGCUGCUCGCCCACUCCACUGGCCCACGCCACGUUCCGCCCACUUCACUCCUCUCCUUUCGUGCCUCGCCCGCCCUUAACCGCCUCGAAACCUCUCGUGCCUCGUGCCUGAACCUUAUACCAGUCCCAAAAGAAUACUUCUCUGUUCCAGGUAAGGCCCGGGCUCACAUUAGCCCUAACACCAGGAACUGGUCCCGUGUUCCAUAAUUCAUUUACCACUCAUAUGGAUCCCAUCAAUCAAUGCCCACCAGUGCCUUAUGCAGUUCCACGAGCUCGAUUUUAUAUGACGGAUGAUGGGUGAUGGGUACUGUUCUUAUUACUUGACAAACAAUUGAACAGCUUUUUAUUUGAGAACGCUGGGAAUGCCAACCCAUGAGCAAUAUGCUGAACGUAAAACGACAAGCCGACACCACGCAGUAGUGACAUUGACUUUGUGGUGUUCUUGUGUCCUCCACCUGUGGACUUGUGGACAUGUGCUGUUGCGAGCUUUAAUUAUUUAUUCAUUUCAAAUUUAUU